GCCGUUGUAGCUCAGUGGUAGAACAACCGCCUUGUAAGCGGUAGGUCGGGGGUUCAAAUCCCUCCUGCGGCA
rnacentral:tRNA from 1 species